CCCUUAGAUGUUCUGGGCCGCACGCGCGCUACACUGACGAAGUCAGCGAGCAUGUCCUACGCCGAUAGGUGCGGGGAAUCUUGUGAAACUUCGUCGUGCUGGGGAUUGAUUAUUGAAAUUAUUGAUCAUCAACGAGGAAUUCCUAGUAAGCGCAAGUCAGCAGCUUGCGUUGAUUACGUCCCUGCCCUUUGUACACACCGCCCGUCGCUACUACCGAUUGAAUGGUUUAGUGAGAUCUUCGGAUUGGUGCCACCGAGUCCAGCAAUGGACACGGUGAAUAUCGAAAAGUCGAUCAAACUUGAUCAUUUAGAGGAAGUAAAAGUCGUAACA
rnacentral:rRNA from 1 species